CAGUCAUGAGGACUUUCCUCUUUCUCUUUGCCGUGCUCUUCUUUCUGACCCCAGCCAAGAAUGCAUUUUUUGAUGAGAAAUGCAACAAACUUAAAGGGACAUGCAAGAACAAUUGCGGGAAAAAUGAAGAACUUAUUGCUCUCUGCCAGAAGUCUCUGAAAUGCUGUCGGACCAUCCAGCCAUGUGGGAGCAUUAUAGAUUAAUGCAGAAGAUUUAGGUUUCCAGAGAAGCAUACAUAACCUAGCUUCUUUUUACUCUUGCCUCUGCUGUAGGCAGACACUUUAAUAAAAAUAAAUGACUGUC
rnacentral:lncRNA from 1 species